GGAAGAGGAGGAAGAGGACGAGCUGGACGAGUUGGACAUGGAAGAGGACGAGGGCAAAGAAGGGAAAUAAGGAGAGCCGUCUCAGAUGAGAUUAGGGCUACAUUGAUUGAUCAUGUGAUCAACCAUGGGUUGACCAUGAGGGAGGCUGGACUGAGGGUCCAGCCAAAUGUAAAUCGAUUUACGGUGGCAGGCAUUAUCCGAACAUAUCGAAAUGAGAACAGAGUGGAAAGGCAAAGGAAUCGUGGAGGGCGAGGGCGCAAAUUCACCGACGAGCAAGAGACCGAAAUCAUAAAUAUGGUUCUGGCAAAUAAUGUGAUUAGAAUCCAUCAGAUCCAACACCAUAUUAUAAAUGAUGCAACUGUUUUCAAUAACAUUGUUACAGUAAGCUUGUCCACAAUUCAUCGUGUCCUCCAGAAGAAUCAGUUGCGCAUGAAACAGCUAUACAGGGUCCCAUUUGAAAGGAACUGCGACCGAGUGAAGAACCUACGUCAUGACUUUGUGGAUAGAAUUUUGGAGAUGGAUGCAGAUGGAGAUGUCCUCCAUGAAUAUA